UGUGGCCAACCCAGAUAUCUUCCUUAUGGAGAGUCUCCUGACGACACUUCCCUACAGAACAUCUGGAUUCAGCCUGCUUGACUUGCCUCAUUGACCCUCACAAUCCACAUGGCCUGUGUGACAGGCCACAGUAACUACCUCUCAGCCACAGCAUGACUCCAGAGGGCUCGUGCCAGCUUGCUGUAAACCCACCAAGUAGAAUUUUCCAAAGGAAGCCUGCUCAGUUUUAUAGCAUUAAGCCUUCCUCUGAUGACAGCAAAGAAUGGUGGAGCCAGAAGCCUGCAGCUUGUACUGCACUGAGAUGGUGAUUCCUACCCUUGCCCCCAUGACACAGCCCAAUGAGAAGCUGCGGUGGACUACUCCUUAGACUGCAGACCAAGCAGCAGAGUGUAGAAUGGUUUCCGUUUGAGGAUGUAAUUAAAAUCAUUAUGUAAAAAUAAA